rnacentral:rRNA from 1 species
AGCAUUUUACUUUGAAGAAAUUAGAGUGUUCCUGGCAGGCUUAGCUUGCAUAUAUUAGCAUGGAAUAAUGGAAUAGGACCUUGUCUGUUUUAUUGGUUGACAGAUAGGUAAUGAUUAACAGGGACAGUCGGGGGCAUUCGUACUCAGUGGCUAGAGGUGAAAUUCUUAGAUUCGCUGAAGACGAACUAAUGCGAAAGCAUUUGCCAAGGAUGUUUUCAUUAAUCAAGAACGAAAGUUAGGGGAUCAAAGACGAUUAGAUACCGUCGUAGUCCUAGCCAUAAACUAUACCGACUAGGGAUUGGUGUGGGUCAUAAUCCAUAUCAGCACCUAAUGAGAAAUCAAAAGUCUUUGGGUUCUGGGGGGGAGUAUGGUCGCAAGGCUGAAACUUUAAAGGAAUUGACGGAAGGGCACCACCAGGAGUGGAGCCUGCGGCUUAAUUUGA